rnacentral:tRNA from 1 species
GAGGGUAUAGCACAGUGGUAGAGCACAUGCUUAGCAUGCACAAGGUCUUGAGUUCAAUCCCCAGUACCUCCC